CAAUGAUUGGUCCCUAAACUUGCUUCGUUUGGGAGAGUUCAACUUUUUUAACGGUCUUCUUACCUGUUUUUCUAGUCUUGCUUAUUCGAAGAAGAGAACCAAGAUUAAAGCCUCCAGUUUACCUAUCAGUAUUACCACUCCACGCCAGGAGGGCAUUUCCUGUGGGGAUAUACAGAUGUCUCUUCUUCAAGGUGCAGGGAAUGGAACUUUUUUUAGUGGAGGUGGAUUCAAGACAAGACUAGACAUCAAAAUACCAAAUGGGUACAGAUCUAAACAGAGAAUUCACAACAGAAGAAUUUCAAAUGGCCAAAAGACACUUAAGGAACUGCUUAACGCCCUUAGCCAUCA